rnacentral:rRNA from 1 species
AUUGAACGCUGGCGGCAUGCUUUACACAUGCAAGUCGAACGGCAGCGCGGGCUUCGGCCUGGCGGCGAGUGGCGAACGGGUGAGUAAUACAUCGGAACGUGCCCAGUAGUGGGGGAUAGCUCGGCGAAAGCCGGAUUAAUACCGCAUACGACCUGAGGGUGAAAGCGGGGGAUCUUCGGACCUCGCGCUAUUGGAGCGGCCGAUGGCAGAUUAGCUAGUUGGUGGGGUAAAGGCCUACCAAGGCGACGAUCUGUAGCUGGUCUGAGAGGACGACCAGCCACACUGGGACUGAGACACGGCCCAGACUCCUACGGGAAGCAGCAGUGGGGAAUUUUGGACAAUGGGCGAAAGCCUGAUCCAGCAAUGCCGCGUGUGUGAUGAAGGCCUUCGGGUUGUAAAGCACUUUUGGCGGGAACGAAAAGGACUGUGCCAAUACCACGGUUCGAUGACGGUACCCGCAGAAUAAGCACCGGCUAACUACGUG